rnacentral:rRNA from 1 species
CCUACGGGUGGCAGCAGUGAUGAAUAUUGGUCAAUGGGCGGAAGCCUGAACCAGCCAAGUAGCGUGCAGGAUGACGGCCCUACGGGUUGUAAACUGCUUUUAUACGGGAAUAACGCGCCUUACGUGUAGGGCUUUGCAUGUACCUUAUGAAUAAGGACCGGCUAAUUCCGUGCCAGCAGCCGCGGUAAUACGGAAGGUCCGGGCGUUAUCCGGAUUUAUUGGGUUUAAAGGGAGCGUAGGCCGCAUGUCAAGCGUGCUGUGAAAUGUCCGGGCUCAACCCGGGCCUUGCAGCGCGAACUGGCGUUCUUGAGUAGGCGGAAAGUAGGCGGAAUUCGUCGUGUAGCGGUGAAAUGCUUAGAUAUGACGAAGAACCCCGAUUGCGAAGGCAGCUUGCUGCAGCGGAACUGACGCUGAUGCUCGAAAGCGCGGGUAUCGAACAGGAUUAGAUACCCGGGUAGUC